AUUGAACGCUGGCGGCAUGCCUUACACAUGCAAGUCGAACGGCAGCACGGGAGCAAUCCUGGUGGCGAGUGGCGAACGGGUGAGUAAUAUAUCGGAACGUGCCCAGUCGUGGGGAUAACGUAGCGAAAGCUACGCUAAUACCGCAUACGAUCUAUGGAUGAAAGCGGGGGAUCGCAAGACCUCGCGCGAUUGGAGCGGCCGAUAUCAGAUUAGGUAGUUGGUGAGGUAAAGGCUCACCAAGCCGACGAUCUGUAGCUGGUCUGAGAGGACGACCAGCCACACUGGGACUGAGACACGGACCAGACUCCUACGGGAGGCAGCAGUGAGGAAUAUUGGACAAUGGGCGCAAGCCUGAUCCAGCCAUGCCGCGUGCAGGAUGACGGUCCUAUGGAUUGUAAACUGCUUUUAUACAGGAAGAAACACUCCGACGUGUCGGAGCUUGACGGUACUGUAAGAAUAAGGAUCGG
rnacentral:rRNA from 1 species